AGGCACGCAUGUGGUGGUAGACGGGCCCGCCACUUUCAUUUUGUUGACUCGUCUGAGAACUUUCAUGCGCCGUUAUUGAAGCGCCAAUGUGGCUUUGACAUUGCGGAGAUUCGCCGAGUUCGCCGAACCACGGCAGCUGCCGUGGCUGAAGACACUCGCGUCAGUGACGAGAGGAUUCGUGGUAUCAAUGGUACGCGGAACGUCAAAUGCACAGAGUGGACGGCACGAAGGAAUGUGUGUAAUUACCGUCAAGCAGAAGCAGCUAACAUUCGCAGGUGCAGCCAAAGUAUUUGCGCAGCUUCAAUUGCCCUCUGAACAGUUUGGCCGCUUCAAACACUGCAUGGACGUUUCCACAAGCCUUCUGCUCUCUCCCCGAUCAGUUUCAAUGAAAGCUCCAGUCAAGGCUACAGCUAUAGCCGUGUCCAGAAAUCCUACAGCUUGCAUGGCAUAUCCUGCCUUGCAAGCACGCUGCAAGACAUAAGUCGCUACCAAGACAGACAUUUCUAUCAAAGUGUACCCUACAAGCAGCAGCCCCAGCAACAGCCAUGUGCACUCGUGGUCUCCAACUUCAGUCUUGGCAGCAUGUUCAGUCUUGGCAGUCUGGAUUGUGGUUUGUAAUAGAGAGCUUAACAAUGGGAAAUUGAAGGGGAGCAUGCAAUAUUUUCUCUUUGAACUGCAUUGAAAAAUCUAUUAUGCAUCACCAGCACUGCAUAUGAACAGCUUUAAAUCAUAGAAUCUUUGCCACGAUUCAGGUAAGGCUAGUCAGCUUGAGAACAUGGGCAUGUUUGUUGUGGAUGAAGUCGUGUGGAACUUAGCUGACCCAUCAGACUUUCUGUAUUCUAUAUUUAUUUAUUUGUCUUCUUCCAGUGCUUAUCAGUUAUGUUUGUCAGUCAUCAGCCUUACAUUUGCUUCAUUUUGCUAUGUGCUAUACACAAUAUUAAUGAUAACUAACACAGAGUGAUGCCGAGCUAAGUACAGGGGUGGUUUGUGUAGUAAUUGUAAUGUAAAGGAAGAGAGGUGGAUGAAAAGAUUACUUUCUGCCGGCAGAGACCUUUGAAUAACACUUCAAAUGCUCUACAGCUCCACUGUAGAGCAUUUGAAGCAUUUGAAUAGCCAUAUUGGCAUUUUGGAGCAUUUGAAUAUACCAUAUUAAGAGGAUGGGUCGUCCGCCCAUCCUCUUAAUAUGGUAUAUAUAUGCACAUUUAAACGUAAGAGUGUCAGCUUUUACUGUACCUUCUUUGUGAUUGCAGUGCAUAUAUUGGUUGUUUCCAGGACUGGAAUGUUAACUCCUAAUUGUUCCUUCAUUUUUGAUGGAACCACAGGUGACAGACCCACCGUCCCGAACACUCUUCUACCUCAAUAUUAAGUGGAAUAAGCUGCUUUAAAAUAAAUUUUUGUAACUUGAGCACACAAGAAUCCACACUCUAGUUGAUAAGCGCCGCAUAACGAAGCACAGCGUCACAAUGAGCUAGAAUACGUGCAUGCGCGCCGCAAUGAACAGUUCUGUGCAGCUUUCUUAUCGCGCCAUUCCAGAAGCCGGACACGGGAUGGCAGUAGGCUGUGCUUACUGACUUAGCAGUUUACACUCGUGCGUUUUGGUUUAAAAAAUGGGUAGCCACACAUACCGUCUUUCAUCAUGGUUGCUCUCAAUCUACAAUUUCAAAAGUGCCUUAGUGAAAGACAUGUUUUUUUGUUGGGACUCGCCAAUAAUGCACAAGGUAGAUAUGUCACUUAUUUAAAUAUGUGCUCCUUUUCCACAUGAAAUGUUUUUUUUUUUUUUUUUUAAGUGCAGAGCACUUGAGGGGCGUAGGCUGUCGUCUACUGCUGUCGCGGCUUGCUGUAACGCAGGCAAAAACCACAUGUAGCACAGCCAGCUGUUGCACAUUGAGUAUGUGAACACACCAAAGAUAAGUGUUUUGUCUCUUGUUCUGUUGAGUGCUUCUUCUACACUGUACUGCACCUUUUGCACUCACUCAUUUUGCACUCGUUGGCUAUUUUUCUGUAGCUUUGGGCUCAAUGGCUAAAAGCCUUUAUUUUUACAUAGAUACAGACAGUACCUAUUUUAGUAAGUACAAUUUCUGUAUGAAUCAUCUAGAGCAGUGUUAUGAAUAUCUUGAUUUUUACACCAUGCUUGGAGGAAGCAUCGCUUUAUUUCUAAGUCAGUUACUACAUUUAGGUAGUAUCUCAAGUGGCUUUUCUAGUUUUGGUUUCACAGCAUGUACCUACUGUACUGUCCUUUAAUUCAUCUUCGUGAGAUUAAGGGUUACAGGUUACCAGUAGAUAAUAUCAUAAUUACGGAAAUUCUGAGCACUCGCCUUUUUACGCGAUUGUACAGUACACUAGGAAGUUGCACCUGCAACAUAUUGUGCUUCUUCACGAAGACUUGGACCCACACCAUUACUUUAACUGAAAAGGCAUAUGCAAUUCUAAGGAGAGAUGCUAGUCAAAAAGCACUAUUAACGCGACAGUG